rnacentral:rRNA from 1 species
AGAGUUUGAUCAUGGCUCAGAACGUACGCUGGCGGCACGCCUAACACAUGCAAGUCGAACGAAGUAGCAAUACUUAGUGGCAGACGGGUGAGUAACAUGUAGGUAUCUACCCUUUGGCCUGGAAUAACACGAGGAAACUUGUGCUAAUACCGGAUAAGUCUUUACGGAGAAAGCUUUAUGCACCAUUGGAUGAGCCUGCACUUGAUUAGUUUGUUGGUGGGGUAAUGGCCUACCAAGACUGUGAUCAAUAGCUGAUUUGAGAGGAUGAUCAGCCACAUUGGGACUGAGACACGGCCCAAACUCCUACGGGAGGCAGCAGUGGGGAAUCUUGCACAAUGGAGGAAACUCUGAUGCAGCGAUGCCGCGUGAGUGAAGAAGGCCUUUGGGUUGUAAAGCUCUUUCGUCGGGGAAGAAAAUGACUGUACCCGAAUAAGAAGGUCCGGCUAACUUCGUGCCAGCAGCCGCGGUAAUACGAAGGGACCUAGCGUAGUUCGGAAUUACUGGGCUUAAAGAGUUCGUAGGUGGUUGAAAAAGUUGGUGGUGAAAUCCCAGAGCUUAACUCUGGAACUGCCAUCAAAACUUUUCAGCUAGAGUAUGAUAGAGGAAAGCAGAAUUUCUAGUGUAGAGGUGAAAUUCGUAGAUAUUAGAAAGAAUACCAAUUGCGAAGGCAGCUUUCUGGAUCAUUACUGACACUGAGGAACGAAAGCAUGGGUAGCGAAGAGGAUUAGAUACCCUCGUAGUCCAUGCCGUAAACGAUGUGUGUUAGACGUUGGAAAUUUAUUUUCAGUGUCGCAGCGAAAGCGAUAAACACACCGCCUGGGGAGUACGACCGCAAGGUUAAAACUCAAAUGAAUUGACGGGGACCCGCACAAGUAGUGGAGCAUGUGGUUUAAUUCGAAGAUACGCGCAGAACCUUACCAACACUUGACAUGUUCGUCGCGACUCUAAGAGAUUAGAGUUUUCGGUUCGGCCGGACGAAACACAGGUGCUGCAUGGCUGUCGUCAGCUCGUGU